UACGUAGGGCGCAAGCGUUAUCCGGAAUUAUUGGGCGUAAAGAGCUCGUAGGCGGUUUGUCGCGUCUGCCGUGAAAGUCCGGGGCUCAACUCCGGAUCUGCGGUGGGUACGGGGCAGACUAGAGUGAUGUAGGGGAGACUGGAAUUCCUGGUGUAGCGGUGAAAUGCGCAGAUAUCAGGAGGAACACCGAUGGCGAAGGCAAGUCUCUGGGCAUUAACUGACGCUGAGGAGCGAAAGCAUGGGGAGCGAACAGG
rnacentral:rRNA from 1 species